rnacentral:misc_RNA from 1 species
GGGAACUCGACGAACGAUCCCAUUGUAAGCCCAUAUACGUAUAAUUCGUGUUUAUUUACAUUUUCCGGUGCAUGAAUGUAGAGGAAUUUCGUUUUUUGGAUUUUCAGUGAUUUUUUCCAAUAAAAAUUUCUAAAACACAUCUUUUAUAUCUAUACGUAGUGGUGCAUGUAUAUUGAUUAAGUAGUGUACACUUACAUCUAUGUAUGAAUAUACAUUACAUGGAUGCUUGUAAAUAUGUUGUAGAAUUAGCAUUGUUUGUUUAGUUUUUCUAGUUUCAUUACAAUUUUUCCGUGGUUGUAAUGUAUGUAUCAGUAUCCUUGGAAUUACAUGCAGGCAGGUGUGUGUGCAUGUGCUUCACAUUUGUAUAGUAUAAAAAUUUAAAUCUUUUUGGAUUUGGCAAUUUUAUUGUCCAUUUGAUGGUGAUACAAUUACAUAUGGAUAUAUAUUCAUACAAAAUUUAAUACCUAGUCAUCUACAUCACAUUUCUGUGAUUUUAUAUGUAUAAAAAACCAUUUUCUUCCCUUUUAAGUGUGCAGAUGUCUAAUUUAUCUGUUUGUGUUGUG